rnacentral:rRNA from 1 species
GACGAACGCUGGCGGCGUGCUUAACACAUGCAAGUCGAACGAUGAAGCCUAGCUUGCUAGGUGGAUUAGUGGCGAACGGGUGAGUAAUACGUGAGUAACCUACCUUUAACUCUGGGAUAAGCCUGGGAAACUGGGUCUAAUACCGGAUACGACCAAUCUCCGCAUGGGGUGUUGGUGGAAAGCGUUAUGUAGUGGUUAUAGAUGGGCUCACGGCCUAUCAGCUUGUUGGUGAGGUAACGGCUCACCAAGGCGACGACGGGUAGCCGGCCUGAGAGGGUGACCGGCCACACUGGGACUGAGACACGGCCCAGACUCCUACGGGAUGCAGCAGUGGGGAAUAUUGCACAAUGGGCGCAAGCCUGAUGCAGCGACGCCGCGUGAGGGAUGACGGCCUUCGGGUUGUAAACCUCUGUUAGCAGGGAAGAAGAGAGAUUGACGGUACCUGCAGAGAAAGCGCCGGCUAACUACGUGCCAGCAGCCGCGGUAAUACGUAGGGCGAGAGCGUUGUCCGGAAUUAUUGGGCGUAAAGAGCUUGUAGGCGGUUUGUCGCGUCUGCUGUGAAGGCCGGGGCUUAACUCCGUGUAUUGCAGUGGGUACGGGCAGACUAGAGUGCAGUAGGGGAGACUGGAAUUCCUGGUGUAGCGGUGGAAUGCGCAGAUAUCAGGAGGAACACCGAUGGCGAAGGCAGGUCUCUGGGCUGUAACUGACGCUGAGAAGCGAAAGCAUGGGGAGCGAACAGGAUUAGAUACCCUGGUAGUCCAUGCCGUAAACGUUGGGCACUAGGUGUGGGGGACAUUCCACGUUUUCCGCGCCGUAGCUAACGCAUUAAGUGCCCCGCCUGGGGAGUACGGCCGCAAGGCUAAAACUCAAAGAAAUUGACGGGGGCCCGCACAAGCGGCGGAGCAUGCGGAUUAAUUCGAUGCAACGCGAAGAACCUUACCAAGGCUUGACAUAUACUGGACCGCAUCAGAGAUGGUGUUUCCCUUCGGGGCUGGUAUACAGGUGGUGCAUGGUUGUCGUCAGCUCGUGUCGUGAGAUGUUGGGUUAAGUCCCGCAACGAGCGCAACCCUCGUUCUAUGUUGCCAGCACGUUAUGGUGGGGACUCAUAGGAGACUGCCGGGGUCAACUCGGAGGAAGGUGGGGAUGACGUCAAAUCAUCAUGCCCCUUAUGUCUUGGGCUUCACGCAUGCUACAAUGGCCGGUACAGAGGGUUGCGAUACUGUGAGGUGGAGCUAAUCCCUAAAAGCCGGUCUCAGUUCGGAUUGGGGUCUGCAACUCGACCCCAUGAAGUCGGAGUCGCUAGUAAUCGCAGAUCAGCAACGCUGCGGUGAAUACGUUCCCGGGCCU